UUUUCUGUACUACAAAAACAGAAAACAUAACUUUUUUAAAAAAAAACCCCAAACAUAUCCCUCGAGACUCUCAUCUCCUCUCACAAACCUUGCUCUAGAUCUUGUUUCCGGCGAAUCUCUGUUUGCUUCAUCCAUGCGCUUUCCUUGUCAUUUUCUCCCUCAUGCUCUUGUUCUUUUUAAUCUCGGAUUUUUCUUUGUUCCUCUUUCUAGAUUUCACUAGCAUGAGCUUCUUCUUAAUUUUCGGUUUUCUGAUUUUUGACACUUCUUUUUAUACUUAGGUUCUUUUGUGCGAAGUUUAUGUCUUUAAUCUCCUCUUUGACGAAAUCCAGCUUGCCCCAUGCGUGUGCUUUUGCGCGAGAUUCAUGUCAAUCUCUUUAUCUAUGAUUUUCUGCUCAUCCCACCAAGGCAGUUUCCUCUUGCAGUUAAUACCUUCCCUUUGUCUCUCUUCAACCUCAACUGAUUUCUCAGGGUCUUUUUCUUGCAAAUUGUUUUGUGUAGAAUUCUUAUCUCCUGAGCUCUCUCUCUCUCUCUCGAUGCUUUUCAGCUCAAUCAAUAAAGUCUUAUGAGAUGGGCAUUUGGUUGGAUCAAAGUAUUGAGUCUCACUCUCACUAAAGUCUCUUUUCUCCUCUCGUCUCAACGUUUCGUGAGCCUUCCCCACAUCUGCCUCUUGUUUCUCAUUACCUUUCUUUAUGCCCAUAUCAGCUGCAUCUUCAAGCAGCCAUUGUUCCUUCUUAGCUAAGCUUUUGUCUCUCUGUUUGGUAUCUUCUUUAACCCCCGUUUUAUGCUUCUCAACUUUUUUGACUUGUGUCAUCACAUUUUCCAUCAAUAAGCUCAGUCUCUCUCUUGAUAGUGACUGAACUUUUCUCUUUUCUAACCUUGGCUUCAUCAUGGAUGUAUCCUUUUAUCUCAGACUUCUCCCUCUUGGUUUGAUGACCAACAAGUUUGUAGACCUUCUUUUCAAAACCUUCGCUUGGAUUGAAAAUUUUUUGAUUUAUGAAUUUUGGUUUCAGGCGGUCUCCCAUCAAAUAAUUGAUGUUUCUUUUGUGGCCCAUUGGCUGAUUCUCCCUCAUAAGUGCAUUUAAUUUUACAAAUUCAACAUCCUCACAGCCUUUAUCAACAACUCCAGGUCUUGUUACCUUUUUAGUGCUCUUUGUACCCUUCUUCUUUUGGUUUCUCGAACUUAAUGCAAAUACCAUCCAUCUGACAUAUGAACUUCCACUAUCUGUUUUCCUUCUUGAUUCAUAAUUAUACAACUUAGCUCUUUGAACAUGACUUUGCAGUCAUUUUCUAUCAUGUGUUGCAUGCUUAGGUAGUUGUGAGUUAGACUAGGUACUAAAAGAACAUCCUUCUUGUUCCUCCUUCCCGAUUCUGUUAUUACAGAGAUAAUACCUUUUCCUUGCGCCUGAACUAUCUCACCACUUCCCAGAUUUAGCCAGGCCCUUGUGUUAGUGUCUAAUUCAGUAAACCAGCUUUUGUCAUUGACCAUAUGACUUUUAGCUCUACUAUAUAUCACCCAAAUAUCUUUAUCGAUUUCAUCUUGAGCAUCUGUGGCAGUGAAUGAACUUUCUUGUUGAUUGUUUGUCUUUGGAGCUUGUGUCAUUGACCCUUUUGAAUCUUCUUGAAAUUUCAUCUUCAACACAUCCCACGCAUCUUUUGAGGUCUCAACAACUGAAAGAUUCUCAAAUUUCCAGGUCAUCAAGAACUUGAAGCUCUGAUACCAUGUUCGAUAGUGCAAAGUUUAGCCGCUCAACACUUAUCCUUCUUACUUUCUUAAUUGUAACCUUACAACCACUACACAUAUUUAUAGUAGUUUUAACCUUACCCUAAUUAGUGUUUCACUUACACCAAAAAACCCAUUAACAUAUAUGGGCUCAAUUAACACAAAUGGCCCAAAAAGCCUUUUUCUUCCCUUGACCAUUCCUUUCAUGUUGACUCUUCUUCUUCUCUUUAUUCUCUUUCACAAAUACAACUUCUUCUCUUCUUACUCUUCAACAUCUUCUUCCUCCCAAGUCAUUUGUUCCUUUUUAAGCAAAGGAUAAAUUUCCAACAAACAGAUGUUAGGUAUGGGGAGAAUCAGGGUUCCUGGAGAACGCCAACACAGCCGAAGGCCAAUCUCAGAACAUCGGUCUUAAAACUAAGGAAAAAGACGAGAAGGAACUCUUCAUCCAAAAGAAGAACGGGAGCACGCAAGCCAUUCCUCCCAAGGUCAAAAUGCCAACAACUAAACCACUCUAGAGGACUAGGAACAACCAACAAUGAGAGAUGAGAGCAUUGCAUUACCAACUUUAUUCUGCGAAUGGAUAAAGAUAACAGCUAAAAUCGCCUUAAGCUCAGACGUAUCAAAGUUAAAUUUUAAUCUAGCUUCACCUCCUGUCCAAUGGUAAAUGACCCCAAGGUCAAUAUUUCUAAGACCCGAUCAUCAAGAUACGUGUUGGUGUA